UUUUUCUUUUUUUUUUAGAUAGGGUCUUGGGUCUCACUCUGUCACCCAGGUUGUAGGCAGUGGUACAAUCACAUCUUACUGCAGCCUGGAACUCCUGGGCUCAAGGAAUCUUCUUGCCUCACCCUCCUGAGUAACUGGGACUACAGGCAUGCCACCACGCCUGGCUAAUUUUUUAUUUCUCUGUAGAGAUGGGGUUUUACUAUGUUGUCUAGGCUGGUCUCUAACUCCUGGCCUCAAGCAGUUCUCACCUUGGCCUCCCAAAGUGCUGAAAUUACAGGCAUGAGCCACCGUGCCCAGACUGUGCUCAUAACUUAAAAUAUAAAUUCCAGUAAUGGCUAUGUUUCAUAGGCAUGGUCGUUCCUAAAGCUGUAAUAGAGACUACCUCAUAAUGAUUUCAGCCAGAGUUCAGUCCAGCAUUAUCUCUCAUGUUAAUUCCAAUGGAUGUUUUUAGAGAAUGCAGGAAAAAUUGUAUUGAGAGCAUUUUCCUCCAACUCAAGGAAUGCACAUGGAUUCUAUCAACGGUCCGUGACGGAUUUAUUACUUGUAUAUUAAUCUAAUAUCUUCUGAAUUUUCUUGACAAGUUCAAUUGAGUGAAGUUCUAUGAAAUAAAGUCCUUCUAUCCUUUCAAAUGCCCCUGUAUUGAGUGUGGCAUCAAAAUGCCAGCUAGGUUCUUUUCAUUGAAUCUAAGGAUUUACUAAGUAUCAUUAAGAUACUUCAGGUUAAAGAUUAGCUUGGAAUCGAAUGACUGGUGGUUUCCACCAAAAUCCUUGGGUUCUAGAUAGGUCUUUGGCCUGGAAUUCUUUCCUAAACUAUGGUCAGUCAUAGAAAGUAAUUGUAGUGCUCCCCUGAGAUAGGAGCUGUCUCUAAUAAAGAACCACAUUUUCACGUUAGCUGCUGUGAGGGGCAUGAGAAUAAAAUGAGUCCCUGUUGUCCAAGAGUGUGUGAUUUAGUAAAAGAGAUUCAGCUAGGAUUUAGAAAACUCUAAACAAAAGAAGCUUCAAAUCUCUCAGCCUAAGGUUUCUCUUCUGGCAAAUG
rnacentral:lncRNA from 1 species